CCUACGGGUGGCUGCAGUGGGGAAUAUUGCACAAUGGGCGCAAGCCUGAUGCAGCCAUGCCGCGUGUGUGAAGAAGGCCUUCGGGUUGUAAAGCACUUUCAGCGGGGAGGAAGGCGUUAAGGUUAAUAACCUUGUCGAUUGACGUUACCCGCAGAAGAAGCCCCGGCUAACUCCGUGCCAGCAGCCGCGGUAAUACGGAGGGUGCAAGCGUUAAUCGGAAUUACUGGGCGUAAAGCGCACGCAGGCGGUCUGUCAAGUCGGAUGUGAAAUCCCCGGGCUCAACCUGGGAACUGCAUUCGAAACUGGCAGGCUAGAGUCUUGUAGAGGGGGGUAGAAUUCCAGGUGUAGCGGUGAAAUGCGUAGAGAUCUGGAGGAAUACCGGUGGCGAAGGCGGCCCCCUGGACAAAGACUGACGCUCAGGUGCGAAAGCGUGGGGAGCAAACAGGAUUAGAUACCCCUGUAGUC
rnacentral:rRNA from 1 species